rnacentral:lncRNA from 1 species
GCAGACAAAAGCAACAGGUUUUAGAAGAAGGAAAAAAUCACUAACAAAUAUAUAUCUGCCAAAUUGAAAGGGAUUAGGGGAAGGGGAACGCAGACAAAGGCAACAGGUUUUAGAAUAAGAAGAAAAAUCCCUAGAAGAAAAGGAAGAAGCACCAGACUGGAAAAAAACAAAAGAAGGAAAAUUUUCUUCCUCUUUUAAGACAAUAAAAUUUUAUAUACAUAAUUCUGAUAAGGAUGAGUAUAUAUCAUUUUGGAAUUGGAUUAAGAAUUUGAAAGAUGAAGGUAAGGAAAUUUGGAGAAAUUCAUGAGACUUUUCAUGAAUUAAGCAGGUAUAUUAUAUUAAUAGGUUGGAGUUGAUAGAGUAAUAAAUACUCAUUCCGUGAGUAAAUAUAAUUCUGCGAAUUAAGAUUCAACUAUGGAACCUCGAAGGUUGGGUAUUCUGAAUUAUCUAUGAAUUAGCCUAAAUAUAGAAAUUAACAUAAGACCGAUAUUAUGUAAUUAUGGAUUGAAUUUGGAGGAAGUUGUACAAAUUGCUCGAAGUGAAGCAUUUGAAAUUUCGGCAUGAGUACUGUGAGUAGUAAUCUUAGCACAAUUUGUGUUUUCAUAACCUGCAUGGUUUAUAUAUGAUUUUGAAAAUAAACGUAUUACUGAUGCUUUAAAAUUUACAUGUGGGGCAAGUCCUUUACUUGAUAUUGUACCGAACAGCUUACUUAAGAUGUUUUACCAAUUAAUCUAAACGUUUUACCAUUACUAGAUAUGUUUUACCAUUACAUGAGAUGUUACUGUUAUUUGAAAUAUUCUCACUUUUACUAGACAUGUUUUACUGUUACUUGAGACAUGAUUACCGUUACUGAAAUAAAAUUACAAGAUUUGAUAAGAAAUAAUAUGCCCUAUGAGUAUUUAGUAUUUACAAGAAAGAGUAUAAAUGGGAAGAGACAUUGAAGGAUCCCGUAGCUAAAGGCAGGUUCGUUAGACCUGGUGCACCUUGUAUUACAUAUUAUCGAUUACCUAUUACCGAUUACAAUUAUAGCCCUCACUAGUGGGAAAGUAGAACUAGCAUACAGUUAGAGUUUUCCCUCGAGUAAGGACCUACAGUUAUACUUGACUCUUUUUAUGAAGGGGUCCACACAGUGAUACAGAUUACAUGAUCUUUUUCUGGAAAUCUCCCAAAUAUAAAGAUUUUCUAUGACACAGUAUUUACAGAGUUUAUUACUGAAUUGUUAAAUUGAUUUUGUUACAAGAAACACAUGAUUAGACUGAUUAUUAUUACUAUUUUAAAAAAGGCAUUUUAUCUUGUGAUUAGUAUGCAAGUAUGUUUUCUUAUUUGUCCCCAAAUAAAAAUGGUUGUGUUUAAGUAUUAUUUCUCACUGAGCUAGCGACUCAUACCCUGCUAAUUUGUUUCAGAGCCAGCAGUUAACGCAAGCGAGGAUUUCGUUAAUUAGAGUGCACAGGUUGAAAAUUCUUGGUGAGCCUCGCACUUGUUCGCGUGGGCGGAGAUUUUUAUCAAUUGUUAUGGUCAUUUCAUUAAACUCUUAGAUUCGCUCCAUAGUCAAUAUUUUAGUGUCAUGGGUAUUCUUUUGUUAUUAUAUUCUUAUGUUGAGUAGCGUCUUUUAUUAUGAAAGUUGAGCUAGAUUAGUAUUUCUGGUUGUUAGUAUGUUCAAUUAGUAAGGGUGGAGACUUAUUUUGGCGAAUUGGUAAGUUGUCAAUUGCUUUUUGAAUUGAAAUUAGGUUGUUUGGCUGCUGAUUUGAGACAUGAAAUUCUUGGGAUGGUCCAAAAACUAGGGAAACUCUGCCCGAUUUUUUGUGAAAUAUCAAUGAGGGUUACUUGGGAGCAUUUUCUCCUAAGCGACAAUCCUAAAUUGGGUCGUGACAAAGUUAGUAUCCGAGCCCUAGGUUACUCUUAUGACUAAUGGAGCACACGUCAGUAGUAGAAUCUCAAUUAUGGUUAUGUAGACGGCCAUUCCCAUAAUCGUGAUUCUGUGAGGGCGUGAAAGGAUGUAUCUUGCCUUUCUUUCUUAUUCCUCCGUACGUGUGUGGCGAUUAGGACCAAAUAACUGAAUCUAUCAUUACUGAUCCUAUUUUUACCUGGCUCGGACCAAUUAUUCUAUAAUAGAAUUUAGCUAGAGCUUCAAACUUCAAAGACGUCAAAUUUUACCGAUGGACAUGUAGCUAUAUCUCAUAGAAAUGCUACAUAAGUGGUAUACAAGACCAGUGAAACGUUCAUUAUGGUAUAUGAUGUGCUUUUCGGUAAGAUGCAUAAUAGAGUGCAUUUUAAAAAUUUAUACUAGUACACCACUACACCGAUAGAGGAGAGUUCUCAUAAAAAAAUAAAGGUACUUAACUCCAUGAAAAUAAAUUAAGAUAUUUAUGGAUAUACUACAUAGACUUGAGAAUAAUGAGCAACAUAAUAGUGCUCUAGAGUCAUCAUGCACGUAGAAGAUUGUAGGGAACAUAAAAGUAUCCUUAAUAAAGUUGUCGAAGUUAAAACUACUAAGUGUAUUGCUUCUAAUAGUUCAUAUGAUCCUUAAGGGUUUUUGAUAAAAUAUUUACCACAUUAUGAGCUAUAGGAUAUUUUAUGGAACGAACAACUUAUAGACUAGAGAACAUGGUGAAUACAUGAAAUGAUAUGGUACUAUUUGGGAUGCCAACAACAGCAACACAACUAAUUUAAUGACGAUUUCACUAAAGUAUUUAUGAAUUAAUUCUUUCUUGACAGUUUGUAAUGUGAGCUCACUUGCUAGAUAGUUUAAGUAAUUAAUUUAGACGAUGAUGUACCAACACAAGUCAUUCUCAGCUUGACAUGCAACAUCUCAAGUUUAGAUGUUGGUGAAGAAUGGCUAACCUUCUAAACGAGAAGUUCACCCAACACUUUAUGAAUCUAAUAUAUUAUGUGGCGGUUGUAGUUGGCCAAAUAAAUAAAGAGAUUGAAAAUAUGGACACGAUAGGCGUUCAAGAACUCAUAUAAGAAUAUCGAGAUUAGAAUAUUUUUUAGUAUGGAUUUUAGUAGGAGUCAAAGAUCCAAAAAUCAAAAAUAUUUUGAGAUAUUAAGCGAUCCUUUACGGGUUGCGACAUCUGUGAAAAAUUUAUAGUAGUUAGACAUGUGGUUAAAACUAUUAAGAUUUAAGUUAAGAGAAGGAAACCCUAGCUAACCAAGCUGUACUUGAUAUAGUUGACUCUAACAUACAGAUGGAUAUGGAUUAAUUAUCUUCUUACCAUGCUACCCUCGAUUACAAUGGAAAGACUAUUAGGUUUGUUGAACUUUAAAAGAUGGUUUUAUCCAAAAAGAGGAUUAUAAAUUUUAGCGACGAGCAAAUUAUAUGUUUUGAAGGCUACAGUUAUAGAAGGAAGGUUGUUUGUAUCUCAUAGAUACUGUAAAGGGCACAAGAGAAGAAACACUUAGCUUGAGGAAAAAAAGGGUAUCAUAAUGAGAGAUUAUCUAAUGUAUUCCUAGGGAUUUACUAGGACUACCUCCAAUAUGUGAAAUAGACUUCGUUAUUGAGCUAGUACCUGAUACGCAAACUAUAUCAUAUGGCACCUACAAAGUUGAAAGAGCUAAUUGAAUAAUUAAGAGACCUACUUGAUACAGGUUUUAUCAUACCGAACGUUGUACUAUGGGGUACACCAAUAUUGUUUGGAAAGAAAAAGGGGAUAAGUCCUUAAGAAUGUGGAUCAACUAUAGAUAAUUAUUUAAGAUAGCAAUACACAAUAAAUACCCAUUGUCUUGUAAAGAAAAAUUAUUUAAUUAGUUACAAGGGGCCAUUGAUCAUUAGUUUGGCUGUCAUCAACUUAGAAUACGAAAGGAAGAUGUUUCGACAUUGCCUUUAGUACUCAGUACAAACAUUAUGAGUUACUUAUGAAGUCCUUUUGAUUGGCCAAUGCUCCAUCUACAUUGAUAUGUAUAAUGGAUAUGGUAUUUAAUGUUGUUUCUGGAAAAAAAAAUUUUACUUACUAUAUUCUGGUAUAUUCUCAUAUCCAGGAAGAGUACGAGAGUCACUUGAAAAAUAUGUUAAAGACACUGCGGGAAAAUAUCUUUUUACCAAGUUCUUCAAUUGUGAAUUUUAGCUAGACUCAGUGGUAUUCAUAGGACACAUGUUAUCUAAGAAUUAAAAGACGGUAGAUUCUGAGAAGAUAAACACAGUUCAUAAAUGACUAUGACAUGUUUGUCCUACUGAAGUUGAUUUUUUUGGCUUGACAGGCUACUAUAUAUAGGCAAUUGUGUAAAAUUUCUCUAGAACACUACUACUCACCAAGUGAAAAAAAAAUCACUAAAUUUCAAUGGAUUGAGGAUGUACAAUGAGAUUCGAGAAUCCCAAGGCAUGUUUGACAAUCACACCAAUGUUAGCCUUAUUUCAAUAGACUUUAGAGGAUUCAUGAUGUUUGUGAUACAUUGAAGGUAGGAUUAAGAUAUUUUCUCAUGCAAAUAGUUGUGUGAUAAGCCUAUGCUCUAAGGAAAUUGAAGAAGCCAAGUCGUAUUAUGCCAUUCAUGAUUUGGAGAUGGUCUUAUUAGUAUUUCCUUUUAAGAUUUAGAGACGCUAUUUAUAUGAAGAAACCUAUGAGAUUUAUACCUAGAACAAUAGCCUAUAGUACAUAAAGUACAUUUAAAAUCAACAGAGAUAUAAAUAUUUAGCAAUGCUGAUAGAGGAAACUAUUGAAGAUAUAAUUAUAUUGUUUUGUAUUAUUCGGGAAAGAUAAAUAUUAUAGCUUAUGCCAAAAAAGAAUAUGGGUGAUUUUGCGCAUUUAGCUCCUAUAGAGAUACUUCUGGACGAAGAUAUUCAUAGACUAGAGGGUACACGUAUUAGAUUCGAUGUGAAAAAAAAUUAAAGAUAUUAUGGGCUAUUGGUCAAGCCCGAUGUAGAGUGUAUAAAGGCUAGCCAAUAACAAGAUGAACGAUUGUUUAAUUUUCGAGAUUAGUUUCUAGCUGGUAAAAGCAAGGAUAUGACUGUUAGUAAUAAGGACAUUCUACGACUAGGUUAGUAAUGUGUAGCAAACAUAUAUGGGUUGAGAAAAGUUAUUUUUGAUAGGGAUUACAAGAUACAAUGUAUAUCUCAGGUCUAUUAGAUGCACCAUGACUUUUAUAUAUAUAUUGGUUGGAAAAGAAAGAAAAAAAAACGUUAACUUUGUUUCUAACUAUUUGACAUGUCAGUAUGUCAAGACAAGCACUUGCAACUCACAGGCCCACAAAAACAAAAACAAUUCAAGAUUCUGAAGUGGAAAUUCAAUAGAACAAUACAUUAUAUGACUAAAUUACUCAAACCGUUAGAGGUAUGAUUAUAUGUGAUUAAGUUGUAAACAUACCAAGUAGGCACGUUUAUUGCUAGUCAAACCUCUUAUAGUGAGGUAAAAUAUGCAUAGAAUACAUGAACAUAAAAUUAUCUGACCUAAUAGAGCUCUAUUGUCCAAUCAGCUCUAAUGGAGGAUCACAUUUACUUCACGAUUUGAAAACCUUUUCAAGAAAUAUUGGGUAUACGAGUAGAUCUUAGUACUAGUUUUAUCGCAUGCAAACGCAAAGUCCAAAUGUGUUAUACAGAUCUUGGACGAUAUGUUGAGAGAUUGUGUUCUUGAGUUUAAAUAUAGUUGGGACGCUUAUCUACUUUAGCUGAAUUUGCUUAUAACAACAGCUUCAAGUCUAGAUGGGAAUCAUAUGAAUCAUUAUAUGGUAGAAGAUGUUAUUCUAUCAAAGGGUUUGAAGCUGAUGAGACUCAUUUAUUGGGACCCGACUUAGUACCAGAAGCUAUUGACGAGGUCCAAUUGAUUGGAUCGUGAUUUCUCACAAUUUAAAGCAGACAAAAAUCUAAUGAAAACAAUAGAAAAAGAGACUUAAUGUUCACAAUUGAAGAUAGAGUGUUCAUACAGGUAUCUCCUAUGAAGGGCGUGAUGCAAUUAACAAAAAGAGAUAAGUGGAGCCCGGAGUUUACAGGUUAGUAUGAAUUACUUGACCGAAUUGGAGCUAUGGCAUAUCAUUUGGAACUUACUCCUUAGUUAUCUUUUAUUCAUCCAAUGUUUCUUGUCUCCAUGCUAAAAAAAGGUAUAUCAGACUCCUCUCAAGUGCUUGAAGCACCUACUAUACCACUCGAUGAAACAUUAUCUUAUGAGGAAGAGACUAUUGCUAUUAUCGAUAAUCAAGUGAGGAAGUUGCAGUCAAAAGAAAUUGUGGUUGUUGAAGUCUUGUGGAUAAAUCAUACAUUGAAGAAGCUACUUAGGAAGUGAAAGAUCAUAUAUGAGUCAAGUGACCCAAUUUAUUUCAGUCUACAGGUACGUACUUGAGUUAAAUUCAGAGAUCUAAUUUCAUAAGGGGAAAAAAGUAAUGCCCUAUAUUUUUUUAUAAGAAUAUAUUGGUCAUUAGCACAAUAAUAUUAAGAAGAAGAAACUAAUUGCAAUAAGAAUAAAAAGAUAACAAACUACAAUGAAACUAAAUAAACAAAAGAAAAAAAAAAGAAAAAGAAGAAAGAAUACAAAUGGGCUUAGCCCAUUAACGUGACACAAGUCACUAGGGUAGGAAAAAGGGAAAAAACAAAAUAAAACAAAUAUAUAUCUGCCAAAUUGAAAGGGAUUAGGGGAAGGGGAACGCAGACAAAAGCAACAGGUUUUAGAAGAAGGAAAAAAUCACUAGAAGAAAAGGAAGAAGCACCAGACUGGAAAAAAAACAAAAGAAGGAGAAUCUCGAGUGUUUCUUUAGCGCCGGAGAUUGUUGGCAUACAAUUCCUUGGAUUUCACCAAUACACUCCAGGUAGUUAUAUGUAUUUCUUCCUCUUUUAAGACAAUGAAAUUUUAUAUAAAUAAUUCUGAUAAGGCUGAGUAUAUAUCAUUUUGGAAUUGGAUUAAGAAUUUGAAAGAUGAAGGUAAGGAAAUUUGGAAAAACUCAUGAGACUUUUCAUGAAUUAAGCAGGUAUAUUAUGUUAAUAGGUUGGAGUUGAUAGAUUAAUAAUUACUCAUUCCGUGGGUAAACAUAAUUCGGCGAAUUAAGAUUCAAAUAUGGAACCUCGAAGGUUGGGUAUUCUAAAUUAGCUAUGAAUUAGCCUAAAUAUAGAAAUUAACAUGUGACCGAUAUUAUGUAAUUAUAGAUUGAACUGGAGGAAGUUGUACAAAUUGCUCAAGGUGAAGCAUUUGAAAUUUCGUCACGAGUACUGUGAGUAGUAAUCUCACCACAAUUUGUGUUUUUAUAACCUGCAUGGUUUAUAUAUGAUUUUGAAAAUAAACAUAUUACUGAUGCUUUAAAUUUGCAUCUGGGACAAGUCCUUUACUUGAUAUGGUACCGAACAGUUUACUUGAGAUAUUUACAAAUUAAUCUGAACGUUAUUACCAUUAGUAGAUGUGUUUUACCAUUACAUGAGAUGUUACAGUUAUUUGAUUUAUUCUCACUGUUACUAGACAUGUUUUACUGUUACUUGAGACAUGAUUACCGUUACCGAAAUAAAAUUACAAGAUUUGAUAAGAAACUAUAUGCCCUUUAUUAUUUUGAAUAUGCUUUUGUAUGAAUAUUUACUAUUUACGAAAAAGAGUAUAAAUGGUAGGAGACUUUGAAGGAUCCCGUAGCUUACGCCGGGUUCGUUAGAACUGGUGCACCUUGUAUUAGAUAUUAUCGAUUACCGAUUACCGAUUAUAGUUACUAUCCUCGCUAGUGGGAAGGUAGAACUAGCAUACAGUUACAGUUUUUCCUCUAGUAGGGACCUACAGUUAUACUUGACUCAUUUUAUGAAGGGGUCCAUAUGGUGAUACAGAUUACAUGAUCCUUUUUUGGAAAUCUCCAAAAUAUAAAGAUUUUCUAUGACACAGUAUUUACCGAGUUUAUUACUGAAUUGUUAAAUUGAUUUUGUUACAAGAAACACAUGAUGAGACUGAUUAUUAUUACUGUUGUAAAAAGGGCAUUUUAUUUUGUGAUUAUUAUGCAAGCAUGUUUUCUUAUUUGUCCACAAAUAAAAACGGUUGUGGUUAAGUAUUAUUACUCACUGAGCUAGCGACUCAUUCACCGCUAAUUUUUUUCAGAGACAGUAGUUGACGCAAGCGAGGAUUUCGUUAAUUAUAGUGCAUAGGUUGAAAAUUCUUGGUGAGCCUCGCACUUGUUCGCGUGGGCGGAGAUUUUUAUCAAUUGUUAUGGUCGUUUUAUUAAACUCUUAGAGUCGCUCCAUAGUCAAUAUUUUAGUGUCAUGGUUAUUCUUUUGUUAUUGUAGUCUUAUAUUGAGUAUCGUCCUUUAUUAUGAAAGUUGGAGGUAGAUUAGUAUUUCUGGUUGUUAGUAUGUUCAAAUAGUAAUGGUGGAGACUUAUUUUGGCUAAUUGAUAUGUUGUCAAUUGCAGUUGAAUUGCUAUUAGGUUGUUUGGCAAAAACAGGGGAAACUCUGCCCGAUUUUUUAUAAAAUACCGAUGAGACUUACUUGGGAGCAUUUGCUCCUAAGCGCCGUUCAUAAUCCUAAACUGGGUCGUGACAGGUUCAUUGUGUUAGGUCUUAAACAUCUAAAAGAUAAAGGAAAAUGGUGUAAUAAAUUGUAACAUUGACUUGCCUAGCGAGUUCAAUGUUAGGCGCCAUCACGGCUCGAGAUGGAAAAAUUCUUAUCGUGACACUUGCUCCCUUAAUAGUUUGCCC